rnacentral:lncRNA from 1 species
UCUUCCUGGCCAGUUGCGGUGGCUGACAUCACACUUGUCUGAGUGAUGGGGAUGAUGUAACAUUCAGGAGUGUAGAAGCUGAUCCCAGGGCAGUCAGAGAUAGCAAAGCUUCUUCACUGCCAUAGUCUGCAUUUGUAGGAAAGUCUUCAUGGACUUAACUAAAAGACAGCAAGCAGGAAUUCAAAAUUGGUUUUCAAUCUUGCUACUUUGCAAAGAAAAGUAUCUCUGUAUGCCAAUAAACAUGUCCAUAAUGUGUUGGGUACAUGCUCAGGACAGUAGUGUGAGUGGAGAUCUGCAGGUGCAAUUGUAGAAUGUUAGAAACCAGAGAACUGCUGAAGGUUUCUCAUAGUUGUGAUUUCAGUUAUUAUUACUUUUUUUUGUUUUGUUUGUUUGUUUGUUUGUUUUUUCGAGACAGGGUUUCUCUGUGUAGCCCUGGCUGUCCUGGAACUCACUUUGUAGACCAGGCUGGCCUCAAACUCAGAAAUCCGCCUGCCUCUGCCUCUGCCUCCCAAGUGCUGGGAUUAAAGGCGUGUGCCACCAUGCUGGGCUUUAUCACAUCUUUUUAAAGAUUGUUAAAGAGCUUUGUGAAGAGCUGUUCAUUAGGGGUAGUAAUGGCUGCCUCACAAUGUGCAUAUUGUGUCCUUGGUGAGUUCACCCAAUUCCAUCCCUAGUGCAUACACAAAAGCCCAUGCUCCUGUGGCUGUGUGUCUUGACAGCUGACAUCCUCACUCUCUCUAAGGACUACUUUUUUUUUUUUUUUUAAGAUUUAUUUAUUAUUAUAUGUAAGUACACUGUAGCUGUCUUCAGACACACCAGAAAAGGGAGUCAGAUCAUGUUACAGAUGGUUGUGAGCCACCAUGUGGUUGCUGGGAUUUGAACUCUGACCUUCGGAAGAGCAGUCGGGUGCUCUUACCCACUGAGCCAUCUCACCAGCCCUAAGGACUACUUUUGGACAUCUGGAGAUAGGAAAAAUAACACGCCUUCUCCCAGUUAUUGGUUGCUAGGGAUGCUUUAAACACCCCCUAUGAUACAGGACAGCUUCCUCAGCAAGAAAUUACCUGGUCCAGAAGGUGAACCAUGCAGAUUGAGAAAUCUGCCUAUCAGUUUUCAGGGCACAUGUCUUCUCCACAGUAUAUGCGCUUUACUUCUUUUAACG